UGCCUCAAGUCCAGACAGCUUACCUUGAAAAAAACUAAGGAGCUCAAAGCAGGCCUCUCGCCUGGGCAAGGAUGCAUGGAACAAUGAGAUAGGUCCUCGGUACUAUUGCGUUAGUUUUCGGAACUCGAAAUGAGGAUCAAUAGGGACAGACGGUGACAUUCUUACUGCGACGAUAGAGGUGAAAUACUAGGACCGUCGCAGGACGAACGACUGUGAAAGCACUUGUCAAGAAUGUUUUCAUUGACCAAGAACGAAAGUCAGAGGUUCGAAGGCGAUUAGAUACCGCCCUAGUUCUGACCGUAAACUAUCCCAACCAGCGAUCCCGCUGUGUUUCUGAAAUGACACGCCGGGCAGCUUCCGGGAAACCAGAACUUUUGGGUUCCGGGGGAAGUAUCGUUGUAAAGCUGAAACUUAAAGGAAAUGUCGAAAGGGCAUCAUCAGGGUUGAAUCUUGCUGCUCAAUUUGAUUCAACACGGGUUAAUUCACCCGGUCUGGACUCGGCAAGGAUUGACAGAUUAAGAGCUCUUUCUUGAUUCUGAGGGUGGUGGUGCAUGACCAUUUUUAUUUCGUGGGAAUGAUUUGUCUGGUUAAUUCCAAUAACAAACGAGACUCUAGCCAACUAAAUAGACUGACCAGAGCUGUAUCUAGGCAAUUUCUUCUUAGAGGGACAACACGC